UUAAAGUCGUAUUCACGGCAGUUCUUCUCAAUCCAAUCCUCGUUCGUUCGUGAACGCAACUUCCCUACAAGCGAACCAAAUGCAGGAAGCGGACUAGAACGCAAGGCAUUCGAUCGUUUGGAGAAAAGAAGGAAAUUAUUUCAAGAGGAAGACCUACACCAAAGAGAAGGCCCUGACUGAAACCCCACGGUACGCUACUGUUAAUAAUAAACAAACUUUCAAACUUUCAGGUAAAAACAUUUACAUUAAAAACAAAAUAAAUAAUAAUAAAUGACUCAAAUGAUUUUAAAACUUUGUUCCAGGACACAGAGAAAUAUUUAUAUCAGGUUUAUAUUUCUUUCUCUGCUGCUAUGUUCCGGCCAAAUGCAUUCUGCCAAGUAAGUCACCACUCGAUGCAUGCUGGGUAAAACGGGCGGAGCCAGAACACUUCUGGGUGCAAGAACUGUACUCGCUGCUCGUGUACAUGAGUAUUGCAACAGAAGUUGGACUGAGGCUGAUGACGUUUCACAAGUACGCACAAGUAUGAGAGUACAAGAGUACAGACAAGUACAGACAAGUACGAAAGUACAGACAAGAACGCACAAGUGAGAACAGCGGAGAAGAUCAUUGGGACACCACUCCCACCCAUCAAAGACAUUGCACACAGGCGCUGUCUAACCAGGGCUCACCAGAUCCUCACUGACCACACCCACCCCCACCAUGGACUGUUCUCCCUGCUGGCGUCUGGCAGGAGGUUCCGCAGCAUCCGCUGCAGAACAAACCGACUCAAGAACAGCUACUUUCCACUG